rfam:Vibrio ezurae NBRC 102218 DNA, contig: VEZ01S59.
AUGUAAAAAAAUAGCCUAGGUUAUCCAUACCUAGGCUUAGGGGAAUGGCUCUGCUUUCAGAGCCUGCGCUAAUCGCAUUUCUUGAUUAAGUUUAGUACACCGCCGCUUUAUUGCCAUCGA